rnacentral:rRNA from 1 species
AGUGAACGCUGGCGGUAGGCCUAACACAUGCAAGUCGAACGGCAGCACAGUAAGAGCUUGCUCUUACGGGUGGCGAGUGGCGGACGGGUGAGGAAUACAUCGGAAUCUACUUUUUCGUGGGGGAUAACGUAGGGAAACUUACGCUAAUACCGCAUACGACCUACGGGUGAAAGCAUGGGAUCUUCGGACCUUGCGCGAUUGAAUGAGCCGAUGUCGGAUUAGCUAGUUGGCUGGGUAAAGGCCCACCAAGGCGACGAUCCGUAGCUGGUCUGAGAGGAUGAUCAGCCACACUGGAAGGGAGACACGGUCCAGACUACUACGGGAGGCAGCAGUGGGGAAUAUUGGACAAUGGGCGCAAGCCUGAUCCAGCCAUACCGCGUGGGUGAAGAAGGCCUUCGGGUUGUAAAGCCCUUUUGUUGGGAAAGAAAAGCAGCAGGUUAAUACCACGCUGUUCUGACGGUACCCAAAGAAUAAGCACCGGCUAACUUCGUG